GAUGAACGCUGGCGUCGUGCCUAAUACAUGCAAGUCGAGCGAACAGACGAGGAGCUUGCUCCUCUGACGUUAGCGGCGGACGGGUGAGUAACACGUGGAUAACCUACCUAUAAGACUGGGAUAACUUCGGGAAACCGGAGCUAAUACCGGAUAAUAUAUUGAACCGCAUGGUUCAAUAGUGAAAGACGGUUUUGCUGUCACUUAUAGAUGGAUCCGCGCCGCAUUAGCUAGUUGGUAAGGUAACGGCUUACCAAGGCAACGAUGCGUAGCCGACCUGAGAGGGUGAUCGGCCACACUGGAACUGAGACACGGUCCAGACUCCUACGGGAGGCAGCAGUAGGGAAUCUUCCGCAAUGGGCGAAAGCCUGUCGGAGCAACGCCGCGUGAGUGAUGAAGGUCUUCGGAUCGUAAAACUCUGUUAUUAGGGAAGAACAAAUGUGUAAGUAACUAUGCACGUCUUGACGGUACCUAAUCAGAAAGCCACGGCUAACUACGUG
rnacentral:rRNA from 1 species